AGUCAGAAAUGUGUCAAAGUCAAAGAUGAAGAUCUAGCUAGGUUAACCGGCCAAUUGCGCAAGAGAUAUCUUGUUAUGCAAUUAUGAUGGCGGAAAUUGUAUCGAGUGAUGUAAUAAGUGUAUUGUGUUGUGAGGUUGUGAGUGGAUAUGUUUAUUGUGUGAAUCAUAAGUAUUAGUGUGGUGUGGGGCGAACAUGUUAAUGCUGACCCGUUGCGGAUGACCAUGCGACACAGUAUGUGAAAUGCUUUCCAAUGAUGGUUCAAGGUCCAGAAGUGAUAUACUUUGGAUGAAUAUGGAGUGAAGCAGACAGGAGGCAGCCAAACCACUCCACAACACUGCUGGGGAUCCCCCAAGGACUGUGGGCCAAACCACAUAAGGCCCCUUAAAGGUGGUGGAAGGUCAUUCCAGCAGUGUGUGGCUGCAAAUCUGAAACUACCCCUGAAAGCUGCAGUUUUGUGAGGUGGGACCCUAAGCGGAGCAACUAUGGAGCGAAGACCAUGUCUGUAGCACGUUUCUUUCCAUGUCAGUUUUUCAAAUAAGUAGUGCGGCUUAUGGGUUGAAACAAUUCCAAACAUUAGGCUAGCAAGAUGCAGUUUUCGCCUGGCAGCCAUUUUUAACAUUUUAAUUUGAUUGAUAUAUGGCGUUACGUGGUGCCUGCGGGGGACUUUGAUGCAAAAUCUGACACAGGCAUUCUGAACCCGCUGUAUCAGCCUAUCUGUCCUAGCAAGCAAGCAAGGCCCGUAUACGGUAUCACAGUAAUUCAGCUUAGAUAGGACUAGAGUGUCAACAAGUUGUUUCCUAAGAGGCAGGCUAAGAAAAUUACGGAUACCAUAUAGUACCUUUAGUCUGUAGAAACAGUUUCUAACGAUGUUGUUUAUGUGAGCCUCAAAGUGCAGCUCCGGAUCCAAGGUUAGGCCCAGACUACACGCUUGUUCUACGCGUUCAAUUUUUUCCCCCUGAAUGACUAUCUCAGGCUUGGCAGCUACUAUAUUGGUGACCUGUUUUUUUGUACCUAGCACCAUAAACUUGGACUUAAGGGGAUUAAGCAGCAAACAAUUUCCCUCCGACCAAGCAACUAUCCGCUGCAGAUCCUCAUUUAUUCUUUGAACUGCAGCUACCACAUCAUCCCCCUUGAAGGAAGUGUACAGCUGGAUAUCAUCCGCAUACAUGUGAUAUCUGCAGUUCACAAGGGAUUUAACUAU